rnacentral:lncRNA from 1 species
CAAAAGUACAGGCCCUUUGUGUGCAGAAGUAUCAGUUCUAACGAACAACUUAGGAAGAUGCUAGACUGCCACAGGUCUCCACCGGCUUGUACGUUGUGAUCUGCCUGGUGAACAAACAGCAAGCAUUUUAAGCUGCAAUUCAAUGAGGCCACGUAAAAACAAAAAAGUUCUCAUAGCUGUAUAUGUGAAGUACAAGGGCCUAUAACCUGAAUCAUAAAAGAGUGCCACAGACUGCU